UUAAAGUUUUAUUUUGGCUUGUUAAUUGGCUUAAAAAUUUUAUUUAUAUGUAUAUUUUGUUUGGAAAAUUGAUAGGCAGUAUAUAGUAUUACUUUUUAGGGUAACUUAGAAGUAGAUUUAUAAUUUAAUUGUAACAAAUUUUGUGCCAGCAGUUGCGGUUAUACAAAUAACAAUAAGUUAAUUUUUUUAUUAAAUAGAAUGAUUGUAUGUUUAAAAAUUUUAUAUUUUUAUUUUUAGGUGAAAUUUAAAUUUAAAUAAAUUUUUAAUUUUUAGUUUUUGUUCUUUGAAAUUUUUUUUUAAACUAGGAUUAGAUACCCUAUUAUUUUAAAUGUAAAUUUUUAAAUUAUUAUUAGCUAUGUUCUUUAAAAUUAAAAGAUUUGGCGGUACUUUAGUCUUUUCAGAGGAACCUGUUUAGUAAUCGAUAAUACACGAUUAUUUAUACUUUAUUUUAAAAAUUUAUAUAUCGUUGUAGUUAAAUAUUUUAUUAGAAUUACUAAUAUUUAUUAAUUUUUAUUUUAUUUUAAUUCAGAUCAAGGUGUAGUUUAUAAUAAAGAUUUAAUGGGUUACUUUAUUAAGUUGGAUUUAUUUUUUUUAAUUUUAAUGAAAAUGGAUUUGAAAGUAAUUUUAUAUAUAUUUUUAAAGUGAUUUUGCUCUUUAGUAUGCACAUAUCGCCCGUCACUUUCAUUAUAAAAUGGAAUAAGUCGUAACAAAGUAGUUUUAUCGGAAGAUGAAUCUAGAAAGAG
rnacentral:ncRNA from 1 species